rnacentral:rRNA from 1 species
UUAUCGGAGAGUUUGAUCCUGGCUCAGGACGAACGCUGGCGGCGUGCCUAAUACAUGCAAGUCGAGCGGACAGAUGGGAGCUUGCUCCCUGAUGUUAGCGGCGGACGGGUGAGUAACACGUGGGUAACCUGCCUGUAAGACUGGGAUAACUCCGGGAAACCGGGGCUAAUACCGGAUGGUUGUUUGAACCGCAUGGUUCAAACAUAAAAGGUGGCUUCGGCUACCACUUACAGAUGGACCCGCGGCGCAUUAGCUAGUUGGUGAGGUAACGGCUCACCAAGGCAACGAUGCGUAGCCGACCUGAGAGGGUGAUCGGCCACACUGGGACUGAGACACGGCCCAGACUCCUACGGGAGGCAGCAGUAGGGAAUCUUCCGCAAUGGACGAAAGUCUGACGGAGCAACGCCGCGUUAGUGAUGAAGGUUUUCGGAUCGUAAAGCUCUGUUGUAAGGGAAGAACAAGUACCCUUCGAAUAGGGCGGUACCUUGACGGUACCUAACCAGAAAGCCACGGCUAACUACGUGCCAGCAGCCGCGGUAAUACGUAGGUGGCAAGCGUUGUCCGGAAUUAUUGGGCGUAAAGGGCUCGCAGGCGGUUUCUUAAGUCUGAUGUGAAAGCCCCCGGCUCAACCGGGGAGGGUCAUUGGAAACUGGGGAACUUGAGUGCAGAAGAGGAGAGUGGAAUUCCACGUGUAGCGGUGAAAUGCGUAGAGAUGUGGAGGAACACCAGUGGCGAAGGCGACACUCUGGUCUGUAACUGACGCUGAGGAGCGAAAGCGUGGGGAGCGAACAGGAUUAGAUACCCUGGUAGUCCACGCCGUAAACGAUGAGUGCUAAGUG